rnacentral:rRNA from 1 species
UGCCAGCCGCCGCGGUAAUACGAAGGGGGCAAACGUUACUCGGAAUCAUUGGGCGUAAAGAGUGCGUAGGUUGCUUAAUAAGUUAUUAAUAAAAUCCUUAAUUUUAACCUAAGAACUAUUAAUAAAACUAUAAAGCUAGAGUUUUAGAGAAGAUGUAAGAAUUUCUAGUGUAGGGAUGAAAUCCGUAGAUAUUAGAAAGAAUAUCAAAGGCGUAAGCAGACAUCUUGCUAAUUACUGACACUGUUGCACGAAAGUAUGGGGAGCAAACAGGAUUAGAUA